UAUAAAAAGCCCUCAUUAGAUAUGACUGAAUUGCUCCAACAAUGCUUUCUUCCUCUCCUUAAGGUCGGUCGCAUACAUAGGUUUGGGGAGAUAUUCUAUUUUCCAUUUGUGCCUGGUUUGAGAGAGAGAGAGAGAGAGAGGUCUUAAAUAGAGACAUGGUGAAACGAAGAAAGAAAGCUUUUCAUAUUCUCCCUUCCUCUUCUUGUACCAUCACCUCGACCAUUCUCCUUCACCUCCAAGACUUCUUUUGUCUAUUGUGUUCUUCACUAAAGAGACAUAGCAAUUGGAACUUGGAAGAAUUAGAAUUGGCAAGGCACAAGAACAAAAUUAAAAAGCAGAGGAGAUGGGGGGAAUCAUGGAGAAAGAGGCGCAAAAUUGAAGCAGAGAAGUCAUGGAGAAAGAGACAAGAAUGAGUGGAUGGAUGAAAAAACUUGCUGGAGAGGAUCCUGGUUCCACACGACGGUUACUAAUGUGAAGGUUAAGUCAAUUUUACUGUUACUGAUUAUCAUCAUUAUUAUUUUUAAUUCUUUCACAACUUGUCAUGAAUAUUAUGAGAAACUCAUUAAAAGUUUUACAAUUAGUAUUUUGUAUAGUGAAUAAUAUACAAAAUUUAUUAAUAUCUAACUAAUAUUUUUAUAAUGUGAAGCUCAAGUCAAUUUUACUAUUACUUGUUUUUAUCAUUAUCAUUAAUUUUUUUCUUAAGUUGCAUUGAUAAUUAUUUAAAUAUUAAUACUAAUUAUUUUCAAAUUCGAGAAAAUAUUUUUUUUACAAUUAGUAAUUAUUAUAAUUAUUAAUGUAAAAUUUUAUUAAUAACUAAUUAAUAUUGUUAUUAAUGUAUAGGUCAAGUCAAUUUUACGUCUAUAUACAUUCAUUGAUUGAUAUUGAUAAUGAUGGUGAAGGCUCCACAAAACACUACUUUAAUUCCAAUUUAUUUUGUCAUAAAUAUUGUAGGUCAAAUUUGAAAUACAUUUUUAAGGAAUGUGUUAAAAAAAAGUUAAUAUGAAGUUCUACAUUUUUUUUUCCGAAAGCAAACUUAUAUUCAUGAGCAUCAUGAUGUGCAACCCUCCUCAAAAGGGUGCAAAAACUAGCAACCUUGGAAACAACUCAACCCAAGAAGAAAGAACAGCCAAUCCAGAAAAGGAACUAGAAAAACACCUAAACCCCAUGCUUUCUUAAGGAGACUUGCAAGCAUUGAUCUGAUAAACAACAUGAAAUAGGGAAAUACCAUUGGUGAAGUUGUAAACCAUAGCUUUGGGGGGUUUCUGGCUUUUUUUUUUAUGGUUCCUUUCUGGGUUUGUUGUUCUUUCUUCUUGGGUUGGGUUGUUUCCAGUGUUGCUAGUUUUUUGACCCAUUUUGAGGAGGGUUGUACAUCAUGACAUUCAAUUCAUUAAUAUGAUUUUACUUUCAGGAAAAAAAAUUAACUUUAUAAUUUUUUAAUUUUUUUAUCACUUUCUGUAAAUAAUAUAUUUCAAAUUUGGUGUCGAAUAUUUAUGGCAAAAUAUAUUGGAAUUAAAGAAGUAUUUUGUGGAACCUAUAUAUAUGUGUGUGUGUGUAAAAUUGACUUGAUAUAUGCGUGAAUAAAAUUAUUAUUUAUCAAUGUUUCAAAUAUCAUAUUGUUAUUAAAUAUUCAUUAAUUUUCAAAGCAUUAACUCAUUCCCUCAUUGUACAUAUGUGAGUAAUGUAUUUAUCAAAAUACCAAUUAAUACAUUUCACAUGCAUAAACAUUUUUUGCUAUAAAAAGCUCUGAUUAGAUGUGACUGAAUCGCUCCAACAAUGCUUUCCCACACCCUUGCCCAAAACCACCACCAUCAUGAUUGAUCUGAUAAAUUUUUCAACAUUAGUCAGGCUCUUCUUUUCAACAUAUUGUGCAACCAAGUAUUCUUUGAUUCUCGUUCUUUCAAUACCCAUAUUUAAUUUUCAUAUUGUUCAAGGGAGACAUUAAGUCAGAGACUCUAUACAUAUUCUUUUCAACCUAAUUUUUCUAGGCUUCUAUUCUUACAAGAAACUAUACACUAUGCUAUAGCACGGUUUUCCAUGAACACCACCAACACCUUAGGUGAUGCCCUAGUGCAGACCAAACUCAUUUUGUAUGGUAACUUGCAUGUUGUGGUUUACAACACCAAUAAACCCCAAAAUAAGUUAUGGCAUCUACUAGGAUAAGACAUAGUAUCGUUGAAAUUUCACAAUUUCAAGCUCCACCCAUUCAUGAUAGGUCCAUAGAAGUGUCUCCAAUUGAUGGAAUUAAGCCAUAUAUUGACAUGCUGGAUAAAUCCAUUAACAUUGUUGUGUCUGUUAAUAUCGCUGAUGAAAAAGUGAAAAUUUAAGAUUAUGGUUCUAGGGAUUUAAUGGAAUAAUGGAAAUUAGAGCUUUACAGUGUCUUAGUUUUAAAUUCAAUUUUCAUCAAUGAUAUUAACAGACAUAUUAUUGUUGAUGGGUUUAUCCAACAAGUCUAUAUAAGGCUUAGUUUCAUCGAUUUGAGACACUUCUAUGUACUUGUGAUUGGUGGGUGUAGCUUGCAAUUGUGAAAUUUCAACAAUAUCAUUCCUCAUCCAAAUAGAUUUCGUAGCUUUUUGUUGGGGGUUGGUGUGGUUGUAAAGCAUCUACCGCCAAAUUAGCAUACGGAAAAUUGGUUUGGUCUGAGUUGGAGCAUCACCCAUAUUGGUUUUUGUAACACUUGAAAAACCCAGAUAUUAGCAUAUUAUAAAGUUUCUUGUAUGAAUAAAUGCCAGGGAAAAUUAGGUUGGAAAGGGAUAGGUAUCAAACCACUCAUCUAAUGGUUAAAAGUUAUUUUGAGACUUAAAGCUUAUUUUUCCUUUAGAUCUAGCCUUAGAUAUACCUUGUAUUUUAUUGGUUUAAAAGAAAAAUCUCAUCUUGCCUUUUUUCUUGUUAAGGCCGUGGCUUAUUGGUGAUGUUUGGGUGAAGAUCUUUUUUUAAAAAGCUAGUUUGCUUGCUUGGUAUUAGAUCUAAGUCUUAGGUAAGUUUUGGUUAAGUUUGUGUGAGAAAAACCUCACCUUUUGCCAAUGUUGAUUCUCGAACAUACACUGAUUAUGGGGUUGGGGCUUUACAAAAUUUUAUUUGAGCUUUGAUAUAUGUUUUUAAGUUUUCAAAUAGCCUUAGAAGUGAUUUGGGGAAAAAGCUAAUGUUGUUGGUGAAUUAAGUGGUAGGGUCGAGGGCCCACAUAUGACUUUUGGAACUAUUUUAAUUGGUGAAACUCGUUAUGUGGUGAUUUUUUUAAGAAGCCAAAUGAAUAUAUUGAAGUGAAGUACAAAUGAUACUUCAAUCCAAUACAAGAGGAGAAAGAGAAAGUGUAAAGAUAAAGGGAAAAAAAUAGCAAAUACAAAAUCUGAGAGCCUCCAACAGGCAAAGAGAGCUCGACAUCUCCUUCGAGAAAAGACCAAAGAGAAUAAGCCUCAUUAAAACCUUACCAGUUACCAGGAAAAACUCACUUGAAAAAACCUGGAAAAGGAAAAAUUUUGCAAAUUUUCUAGGGGUCAUAAUGAAUCUCCAAAGAGAACUAAAUCGCUAACUAACUAAGAAUAUACCCAUUGAGGCAAAAUACCUCAAUCAUCUAGACAAGAAUAAGACCCAACAUUGCAGAAACAAAGUUUGCCAAGUCCCAUCCUCACAGUAACGUCAAAUGCUAAGGAAUGACCCUUCAAAACUUUUCCCCAAAAGCCACGACACCACCCACUCAGCUGUAGAGACCAGAAAAUCAUUAGGAGAAGACAAAAGCAAAAUACUUCAAUCCGCCAACAACAAUACAAAGUUCAGUGAAUCAAAGACAAACACAACAACUCUCCAACCGACAAAUUGGCCAGCCUAAAGGACAUCGGCACAAGAGACAGGAUUUGAAAUCCAUUCAAUCAAGGAGUAACUAAAAUAGCCAUCCUUUGCUUUUAACCAUAACCAAACCCUGUACUGGACCAGGUCAAGAAGCCUAUUCCAAUCAACCUUCUCUCCUUUACAAAUUCUACUAUUUCGAGAGUACCAAAUAGCCCCAACUGUAGCUAUCAAAAUCAGAGAAAGGACCAUCUUCCACGAAUUAUUUCCCGAACAGAUGUUCAAGAACUGCAUAAAAUGAGGUUUUCCUUCACAGGGCAACACUGAAAUAGAGCCAAUCCAGCGCAAGACACCACACCAAACUAACCAACUCAUCGGGCAACAGAAGAAUAGAUGAGAAAUUGAGCACACUGCACAAGAUACAUCAGUUCCACUUGGAAUCACAUUCCUUUUUCUCAGUUCAUCUUUCGUCUGAAGCUUUUUAAUCAACACAUUCCAGGCUAAGGCUAACGAGUUUGACGGAGCCUUAGACGCCCAUAAGAAAUCAAAUAAGCCUUCAUGAGACCUGAGUUGUUUAAGUUGGGUUAGGAGUUAUGAUGCUUAAAAAUUUGAUUUUGGGUCCAAACUAUGAAUUAUAGAAACUUUGGGUUGAAAUUAAGAUUGUUAGAGGACUUGAAUUGAAUUAUUUAAAGUUCGAGGACUUAUUUGGGGAUUGUGUUUCCUUAAUCUUUGUUGUGCAAAACACCUGCAUUUAGUAUAAGUAAGUUAAGAAAAUUUGUAAGCUUUAGAUUUAGAUCUUAGGUGAUCUUAGAAGCUAAGUAUAAUAUUUGUGUGCUUGUUAAGGUUUGGAGCACACGGUGGUUUGUGAGCUAGGACUUAAAACUUGUGAGGAGAAUACCAAAGGUAAUAACACUUCGAGUUCUAGACUUUAGCGUGCAACUUUGUUUGUUAAUUAUAUGACUUGAAUUGUCUUGAUGAUCGAUGUUGAAAAUGAGUUUGUGAACUUAUGAAUGGAAGUAUACCAUGGACCAUGGUAUAUGAGAAUAUGAUACGUGAAUAUGUGUGAGCUAUGUUUCAAAUGAUAUUUUGAUUCUUGAUAUGUGUUAAGUGGACUUGGAAACAUGACUUAUUGAAACAUGCUUAUAUAAGAACAUGAGUUUGAUGAUAUGAUCACAUGCUUAUAAUUAUGUGAAUCACACGAUAAUCUUUUAGACGAUUAUAUGCUUGAGAUAGUAGUAUAUCUCGAUAACAAGCAAUAAUUGUAUGGACUAUUUAUUGUGCUUCUCUAUUAGAUGAUAUUAUCGAUUGUAUUCGUUGGAGCUACAGAUACCCAUAAUUUUCAUGACCCCGACCACUCAUGUCGCGCGAGGAUACUCCGUUGGAAACUUAACUCCGAUUGUUUUACUAAUCAUGGAGCAUAACAUUAAAUUUCUAAAGAAACCCGGGAGCUGCUUGAGGAUGGGGAGUACGGCUCCAGGUGGAUCAAGAUUAUGUGCGUCUCCAUUCAUUUAGGAUUCAUUAGAAGUCGCAUACCAUGGUAGAUCGCUAGUCACGUGCUAACCGAUUGGGUAUCCUUGGAUCUUUGUCUUAACUGCCUUGUAUGGAAGUUGGUGUAAAUUAUGUACAACAUGAUGAAAACAACAUUAAACAUACUACAUACGAUAAUUAGAGACCAUGUAGGUCUCCCCUGAACUAUGUCGAUAUCCGACUAUGUUUGUGUUUGAGAUGUCUUGUUGUGCAUGCUUAUUGGUUA